rnacentral:snRNA from 1 species
AUCGCUUCUCGGCCUUUUGGCUAAGAUCAAGUGUAGAAAGCAAGCAUUAACAUGGGAAAAAUCUUAGUAACAUGGGAAAAAUCUUAGAAACACAGCUGCUGUAACUAGAUUAAUUUUUAACAACUACAAAUGGAAUAGGUAUAUUCUCACUGGUUUGUCAGUUUUCAACCAAAU